rnacentral:rRNA from 1 species
GCCAGACUCCUAGGGAGGCAGCAGUGGGGAAUAUUGCACAAUGGGGGAAACCCUGAUGCAGCGACGCCACGUGAGCGAUGAAGUAUUUCGGUAUGUAAAGCUCUAUCAGCAGGGAAGAAAAUGACGGUACCUGACUAAGAAGCCCCGGCUAACUACGUGCCAGCGGCCGCGGUAAUACGUAGGGGGCAAGCGUUAUCCGGAUUUACUGGGUGUAAAGGGAGCGUAGACGGUCCUGCAAGCCAGAUGUGAAAGCCCGGGGCUCAACCCCGGGACUGCAUUUGGAACUGUAAGGCUAGAGUGUCGGAGAGGCAGGCGGAAUUCCUAGUGUAGCGGUGAAAUGCGUAGAUAUUAGGAGGAACACCAGUGGCGAAGGCGGCCUGCUGGACGAUGACUGACGUUGAGGCUCGAAAGCGUGGGGAGCAAACAGGAUUAGAUACCCGAGUAC